CUUAUCCCCUCUCUUCCUCUUCUCUCUGCCUCUAUGAUACUGAACCAAAGCGCCUUCCUCUGUGUGUACUGUUCAUUUGUAUGUAUGUGUGUGUGCGUGUAUGCUUUCAGAAGUGUAAGACUUUGCGGUUACAAGGCCUCUGUUUUGUGGCCAGCAGAGCUUUGAGUGGUGUUUCCAAAGUGCGAGCGAGAUGUCAGAUCACACUCCAGCUCACGCCGUUUCCAAUAACCCUCCAAAAGAUCAUUUCCUCCGAGAGCCUCUCCUCAAAUCCUUCCUCAGCCCCGAGCUUGACAGCCAAUGACUGCUUCUUGUUUUCCUUCCGUCGCCUUUUUGUUGCUUCCUGAUCACUGCAGAAGGAGCGACCAUCAGGAAGUGUUUGAUUUUCGGCCGGAAGAGGAAAAUUU